rnacentral:rRNA from 1 species
UACGUAGGGUGCUAGCGUUGUUCGGAAUCAUUGGGCGUAAAGCGCGUGUAGGCGGUUUGUUAAGUCGGACGUGAAAUCCCUGGGCUCAACCGAGGAAGUGCAUUCGAAACUAACUGGCUAGAAGAUGGUAGAGGAAGGUGGAAUUCCAAGUGUAGAGGUGAAAUUCGUAGAUAUUUGGAGGAAUACCGGUGGCGAAGGCGGCCUUCUGGACCAUUCUUGACGCUGAGACGCGAAAGCGUGGGUAGCAAACAGG